AACUACUGAUCAAACCUCUUUCCAUUUAAAUUAAAAAGAAAACCGCUCCUUCACUACAUUCUCUCUACAACUCCAUCUUUCUCUCUCUUUCUCGCUCCCCCACAUAAACUGAUCGCCGGCGGCGGACAAUCAAAUGCCGCUGCCGCUUGUCACCGACGAGACCACCAUCGGGAACAGCUCUUCAACUACCGCCGCCGCAAAUCAUGGGAUUGAACGAUGUGGAUCUUACAGAUGAUGGUGAUGGAGGAGGAGAUGGUGUUGGUGGAGAAGAUAAGGCAUCGGGCGGUUUCGUGUUCGAUUUGCCUUGAUGCUGUAACCGACAAUGGGGAUAGAUCCUAGGGAUGGUUAUUAGGGAAAUCAGUAAUGCAAUCUCUACAACUCUGUGUUUGGCCUCAACAAUUCAGAGCAAUUUACAAGAGAGAAGUAAAGGUGGAUAAGCAUGAAGUUGGAGGAUUAGGAUGGUUAAUCAGAAGAAAAAAAGGAGCAGUGGCUAUUAAAAUUAGCUACAAAGCCAUACAAAUGGUGUUUAUUUCUUGUCACCUUUCUGCCAAGUGAUACGACUAGUGGACUCAUUUCGCCCAUGGAUGCAAGAAGACCACGUGAUGAUACUGAUUCUAAUGACAGUCGUUGAUUUCAUUGCAAAUUGUCUUGAAUAUUCAAUUAUGAUGAUGUAAUUGUGUGGUCUGAGCGAAUCUUAGAAUAUUGAAGGUUUUGUAUUUAAAUUUGAUUUUGAAAUUUGAAGA